AGCGAACGUUAGCGGCGGGCCUAACACAUGCAAGUCGAACGCGAAAGGUCUUCGGACUGAGUAGAGUGGCGCACGGGUGAGUAACACGUAGGUAAUCUACCCUUUGGCGGGGGAUAACGUUCCGAAAGGAGCGCUAAUACCGCAUAAGACCACGGAGUCUCCGGACGCUGUGGGAAAAGGUGGCCUCUUCUUGAAAGCUACCACCGAAGGAUGAGCCUGCGUCCCAUCAGCUAGUUGGUAAGGUAAUGGCUUACCAAGGCGAAGACGGGUAGCUGGUUUGAGAGAAUGAUCAGCCACAACUGGCACUGGAACACGGGCCAGACUCCUACGGGAGGCAGCAGUGAGGAAUAUUGGGCAAUGGGCGAAAGCCUGACCCAGCCACGCCGCGUGAGUGAUGAAGGCCCUCGGGUCGUAAAGCUCUGUGGAGAGGGACGAAAACCCGUGGUUUCAAAUAGGCUCCAGGCUUGACGGUACCUCUUUAGCAAGCACCGGCUAACUCUGUGCCAGCAGCCG
rnacentral:rRNA from 1 species